rnacentral:rRNA from 1 species
GGUGAACGCUGGCGGUAGGCCUAACACAUGCAAGUCGAACGGCAGCACAGUAAGAGCUUGCUCUUACGGGUGGCGAGUGGCGGACGGGUGAGGAAUACAUCGGAAUCUACUUUUUCGUGUGGGAUAACGUAGGGAAACUUACGCUAAUACAGCAUACGAUCUACGGGUGAAAGCAGGGGAUCUUCUGACCUUUCGCGAUUGAAUGAGCCGAUGUUGUAUUAGCUAGUUGGCGGGGUAAAGGCCCACCAAGGCGAGGAUCCGCUGCCGGUGUGUGAGGAUGGUCGGCCACAUGAGAACUUGAACGCGGACACGGCUACUGCGGGAGGGACCAGAGUGGAAUAGUGGACAAUGGGCGCAAGCCUGGUCCAGCCAUACCGCGUGGGUGACGAAGGCGUUGCGGUCGUAAAGACCUUUUGUUGGGAAAGAAAAGCAGCAGGUUAAUACCCCGCUGUUCUGACGGUACCCAAAGAAUAAGCACCGGCUAACUUCGUG